UCUAGACAACCCUCUAGAUCGAACCCACGACCUUCUGCUUACCGGGCAGAUGCCAUGACCACUAGGCUAUAG